CCAGACUCCUACGGGAGGCAGCAGUGGGGGAUAUUGCCCAAUGGGGGGAACCCUGAUGCAGCGACGCCGCGUGGGUGAAGAAGUAUUUCGGUAUGUAAAGCCCUAUCGGCAGGGAAGAAAUUGGACGGUACCUGACUAAGAAGCCCCGGCUAACUACGUGCCAGCAGCCGCGGUAAUACGUAGGGGGCAAGCGUUAUCCGGAUUUACUGGGUGUAAAGGGAGCGUAGACGGAUAAGCAAGUCUGAUGUGAAAAUCCGGGGCCCAACCCCGGAAUUGCAUUGGAAACUGCAUAUCUAGAGUGUCGGAGAGGCAAGUGGAAUUCCUGGUGUAGCGGUGAAAUGCGUAGAUAUCAGGAGGAACACCAGUGGCGAAGGCGGCUUGCUGGACGAUGACUGACGCUGAGGCGCGAAAGCGUGGGGAGCAAACAGGAUUAGAUACCCUAGUAAUG
rnacentral:rRNA from 1 species